CCUACGGGAGGCUGCAGUGGGGAAUAUUGGGCAAUGGGCGCAAGCCUGACCCAGCAACGCCGCGUGAAGGAAGAAGGCUUUCGGGUUGUAAACUUCUUUUGUCAGGGACGAAGCAAGUGACGGUACCUGACGAAUAAGCCACGGCUCACUACGUGCCAGCAGCCGCGGUAAUACGGAGGUGGCAAGCGUUAGCCGGAUUUACGGGGUGUAAAGGGCGUGUAGGCGGGGAAGCAAGUCAGAUGUGAAACCCACGGGCCCAACCUGUGGCCUGCAUUUGAAACUGUUAUUCUUGAGUGCUGGAGAGGCAAUCGGAAGUCCGUGGGGAGCGGUGAAAUGCGUAGAUAUACGGAGGAACACCAGUGGCGAAGGCGGAUUGCUGGACAGUAACUGACGCUGAGGCGCGAAAGCGUGGGGAGCAAACAGGAUUAGAUACCCGAGUAGUC
rnacentral:rRNA from 1 species